rnacentral:rRNA from 1 species
CAUGUGUAGCGGUGAAAUGCGUAGAUAUAUGGAGGAACACCAGUGGCGAAAGCGGCUCUCUGGUCUGUCACUGACGCUGAGGCUCGAAAGCGUGGGUAGCGAACAGGAUUAGAUACCCUGGUAGUNCACGCCGUAAACGAUGAGUGCUAGGUGUUAGGCCCUUUCCGGGGCUUAGUGCCGGAGCUAACGCAAUAAGCACUCCGCCUGGGGAGUACGACCGCAGGGUUGAAACUCAAAGGAAUUGACGGGGGCCCGCACAAGCGGUGGAGCAUGUGGUUUAAUUCGAAGCAACGCGAAGAACCUUACCAGGUCUUGACAUCCCGAUGCUAUUCUUAGAGAUAGGAAGUUACUUCGGUACAUCGGAGACAGGUGGUGCAUGGUUGUCGUCAGCUCGUGUCGUGAGAUGUUGGGUUAAGUCCCGCAACGAGCGCAACCCUUAUUGUUAGUUGCCAUCAUUAAGUUGGGCACUCUAGCGAGACUGCCGGUAAUAAACCGGAGGAAGGUGGGGAUGACGUCAAAUCAUCAUGCCCCUUAUGACCUGGGCUACACACGUGCUACAAUGGUCGGUACAACGAGUUGCGAGCCGGUGACGGCAAGCUAAUCUCUGAAAGCCGAUCUCAGUUCGGAUUGGAGGCUGCAACUCGCCUCCAUGAAGUCGGAAUCGCUAGUAAUCGCGGAUCAGCACGCCGCGGUGAAUACGUUCCCGGGCCUUGUACACACCGCCCGUCACACCACGAGAGUUUGUAACACCCGAAGUCGGUGAGGUAACCUUUUAGGGGCCAGCCG